GUCUAAGUGAAACUAGCUAUCCCUAUCUUGGCUAUGUAGUAGUAGACAUAGAGUUUCCAGAGACUGUUACUGGGUCCAAAGAGUCUCUUAUAUCUUGUGUUCUCUAAUAUUAUGAACUGCAAUCAAAUACCCAUAAUGAAUGUAUUCAUUUAAUUACCUUAUAUUCAUUUAAUUACCUCUUUAAAUAAGCUGAUCAACUGCCAUUUUUCUUAUAGCUGGCACAUGUAUUUUCUAUGUCUUUAAAAGACUUAUUUUCAUAGUGUGCUGUGUGUUUUGUUUUGUCUAUCUGGCUGGCACCUGCACCAGUAGAAACCGUCCACGCACUGCCAUUAUCAAUAUGUACAAUUAUUUUUGCAGUUAUCAAUGUAUAAACAACGCUAUACAGCGAUUUUCAAGCAUCUGGGAGCGAAGGAAAGUGGUUUUUCUAACAAACUCAUAUUAUUAAUUGCAUGAUGUCCUCCAAUAUGACAAUUUAACAUAUUUAUGACAUAAUAUAGCACUAUGUCAUGUUUUUGAGCUAAAAUGAUACGAAAUAUGAUUGUUUACAUUAAAAUCUAAAAGUUGAUGAUAAAGUAUGCUAAGGUGGAAAAAGUGACAUUUGAAGUACAGAAAGUCACUUUUCAUCAAAAGUACAAUAACAAAACUUGUUCCCAUUUAUCCAGUGUGUCCAUACACACUGCUGCUCUUUAUACGCUGAAAACACUAUACAGCGCUUUAGAAGGCGCUAGGAGCAAAGGAAAGUGUUUUUUCUAACAAACUCACAUAAUCAAUAGCCCGACCUACUCCAAUAUGAUAUUUUUCACAUAUUUACACAUAAUAUAGUACUAUGAAAUGUUUCUGACCUAAAAUAUUACGAAAUAUGAUUGUUUACAUUAAAAUGUAAAAGUUGAUGAUAAAGUGUGAUAAGGUGAAAAAAUGACAGUUUAUGUCUAGAAAGUGACUU
ensembl:lncRNA